AUUGAACGCUGGCGGCAGGCCUAACACAUGCAAGUCGAACGGUAACAGGAAGCAGCUUGCUGCUUUGCUGACGAGUGGCGGACGGGUGAGUAAUGUCUGGGAAACUGCCCGAUGGAGGGGGAUAACUACUGGAAACGGUAGCUAAUACCGCAUAACGUCGCAAGACCAAAGAGGGGGACCUUAGGGCCUCUUGCCAUCGGAUGUGCCCAGAUGGGAUUAGCUAGUAGGUGGGGUAACGGCUCACCUAGGCGACGAUCCCUAGCUGGUCUGAGAGGAUGACCAGCCACACUGGAACUGAGACACGGUCCAGACUCCUACGGGAGGCAGCAGUGGAGAAUAUUGCACAAUGGGCGCAAGCCUGAUGCAGCCAUGCCGCGUGUAUGAAGAAGGCCUUCGGGUUGUAAAGUACUUUCAGCGGGGAGGAAGGGAGUAAAGUUAAUACCUUUGCUCAUUGACGUUACCCGCAGAAGAAGCACCGGCUAACUCCGUG
rnacentral:rRNA from 1 species